rnacentral:rRNA from 1 species
CAACGCCGCGUGGAGGAUGAAGGUCUUCGGAUCGUAAACUCCUGUCAGGGGGGACGAAAGCCGCGCAAGCGGUUUGACUGUACCCUCUGAGGAAGCCACGGCUAACUCCGUGCCAGCAGCCGCGGUAAUACGGAGGUGGCAAGCGUUGUUCGGAAUUACUGGGCGUAAAGGGCGCGUAGGCGGCUUGGCAAGUCAGAUGUGAAAGCCCCGGGCUUAACCUGGGAAUUGCAUCUGAAACUGCUUUGCUUGAGUCCUGGAGGGGGUAGUGGAAUUCCCAGUGUAGCGGUGAAAUGCGUAGAUAUUGGGAGGAACACCUGCGGCGAAGGCGGCUACCUGGACAGUGACUGACGCUGAGGCGCGAAAGCUAGGGGAGCAAACGGGAUUAGA